ACUGAAUGAAAAGAGGUGGCUGAGGAAAGC
rnacentral:piRNA from 2 species